UCCUACCGGGGAGCAGCAGUGGGGAAUUUUGGACAAUGGGCGCAAGCCUGAUCCAGCCAUGCCGCGUGCAGGAUGAAGGCCUUCGGGUUGUAAACUGCUUUUGUACGGAACGAAACGGCUCUUUCUAAUAAAGAGGGCUAAUGACGGUACCGUAAGAAUAAGCACCGGCUAACUACGUGCCAGCAGCCGCGGUAAUACGUAGGGUGCGAGCGUUAAUCGGAAUUACUGGGCGUAAAGCGUGCGCAGGCGGUGAUGUAAGACAGAUGUGAAAUCCCCGGGCUCAACCUGGGAACUGCAUUUGUGACUGCAUCGCUGGAGUGCGGCAGAGGGGGAUGGAAUUCCGCGUGUAGCAGUGAAAUGCGUAGAUAUGCGGAGGAACACCGAUGGCGAAGGCAAUCCCCUGGGCCUGCACUGACGCUCAUGCACGAAAGCGUGGGGAGCAAACAGGAUUAGAUACCCUGGUAGUCCACGCCCUAAACGAUGUCAACUGGUUGUUGGGUCUUCACUGACUCAGUAACGAAGCUAACGCGUGAAGUGACCGCCUGGAGACCCCCACC
rnacentral:rRNA from 1 species